rnacentral:rRNA from 1 species
UACGGGGGGGGCAAGCGUUGUUCGGAAUUACUGGGCGUAAAGGGCUCGUAGGCGGCCAACUAAGUCAGACGUGAAAUCCCUCGGCUUAACCGGGGAACUGCAUCUGAUACUGGAUGGCUUGAGUUCGGGAGAGGGAUGCGGAAUUCCAGGUGUAGCGGUGAAAUGCGUAGAGAUCGGCAGGAACACCCAGGGGGAAACCAGUCGACUGGGCAUCUACUGACGCUGAGGUGCGAGAGCGUGGGGAGCGAACCGG